rnacentral:rRNA from 1 species
GAUGAACGCUGGCGGCGUGCCUAAUACAUGCAAGUCGAGCGAAUGGAUUAAGAGCUUGCUCUUAUGAAGUUAGCGGCGGACGGGUGAGUAACACGUGGGUAACCUGCCCAUAAGACUGGGAUAACUCCGGGAAACCGGGGCUAAUACCGGAUAACAUUUUGAACCGCAUGGUUCGAAAUUGAAAGGCGGCUUCGGCUGUCACUUAUGGAUGGACCCGCGUCGCAUUAGCUAGUUGGUGAGGUAACGGCUCACCAAGGCAACGAUGCGUAGCCGACCUGGGAGGGUGAUCGGCCACACUGGGACUGAGGCCCGGCCCAGACUCCUACGGGAGGCAGAAGUAGGGAAUCUUCCGCAAUGGACGAAAGUCUGACGGAGCAACGCCGCGUGAGUGAUGAAGGCUUUCGGGUCGUAAAACUCUGUUGUUAGGGAAGAACAAGUGCUAGUUGAAUAAGCUGGCACCUUGACGGUACCUAACCAGAAAGCCACGGCUAACUACGUGCCAGCAGCCGCCGUAA